UGGGGAAUAUUGCACAAUGGGGGAAACCCUGAUGCAGCGACGCCGCGUGAGCGAAGAAGGCUUUCGAGUCGUAAAGCUCUGUCCUAUGAGAAGAUAAUGACGGUAUCAUAGGAGGAAGCCCUGGCUAAAUACGUGCCAGCAGCCGCGGUAAUACGUAUGGGGCGAGCGUUGUCCGGAAUUAUUGGGCGUAAAGGGUACGUAGGCGGUUUUUUAAGUCAGGUGUCAAAGCGUGGAGCUUAACUCCAUUAAGCACUUGAAACUGAAAGACUUGAGUGAAGGAGAGGAAAGUGGAAUUCCUAGUGUAGCGGUGAAAUGCGUAGAUAUAUGGAGGAACACCGGUGGCGAAAGCGGCUUUUUGGCCUGCAACUGACACUGAGGCGCGAAAGCGUGGGGAGCAAACAGG
rnacentral:rRNA from 1 species